AACAAAACAUGCCUGUAUUAAAAGCUUGCACUUGAGACACUCCCCCUGGUACUACACUAUUUGUGACAGAAACACAUGAAGUUUAUUACAGCAGGGAAGAUUAUUUCUAUCUGCAAGUAUUUAGUAGUAGCUUUUUCUUACAUACAAAUUAUGGGUCAUUAGCUCCCAAGUAAGCAACAUCUGCUCACAUACAUGGUGUGAAUGCACCUUAAAAGGGACAGUGCAAGCACCUGCCUAAUGAGGUCAUCCUGGGAAAUUCAUGCAGUCAGGCAGCUCUGAUUAACAAGUUUACAGAGAGAGGGGCUGCAGGCAGGCACUUCUCCAUCGCUUCUCAGGCUAGGCUGUACAGAUGGCAUUUUCUCCAAACUGUUUCACUUUGCGUUACAAAGUGUUUAGUAUGGAACUUCAACCUAUUCUAUUCCAGGCUCAACGUACUCCAGAACCUGAAGAAAACCAGUCUCAGGGAAAGUGUUAGAGCAACAUUUGCAGCUUUACAUUUCAGCACAGACCCUUGAAGGUAUCUUCGUAUCUGCUCCUUGCCAGAAGAGUUUCAGUGAGGGUUGAGAUGAGGAUCCAAGCUGAUGGAUUUCAUGUUGGAAUUUAGACACCUAGACGUAAAGGUGUCUUAUUUUCUCCGUAAGUGAUUUGCUUGUGGCAUCACAAGUCUCUUGUUACCUAACAGGCAGUACCUCAAGCUCCAGCACAGGCUAAACUGUAUUCAGUCUACUGGAUGUGCCAUAAUGAGACAGUAGAACGUCACCAAAACAUUGACUCAAGUGGCUGAACAUUAGAGGAACCAGUGGUCUAUCUCCAAAGGCUGAAGGCAGGUGAGAAAAUAAUGAAGGUCACCAAAACAAAUGGCACAAAGUGGUCACUUGGCUCUGCCUCUCAGCACAGUGUAUCAAGGAGCUGGAGAGAGGAAGGGCAGAUGUGUCUGGGAGAGUGCAAGAGAACAGCUUCAGCCCAAAAAAAGUAGUGUUGGCGCAUUCAAAGGUGUAGAAGCAAAGAAAGGAGUUCAGUAAGUACCAAGCCUUCUGCAAGGCAAGGAAGAAAUGAUUAUUUAAUCCCUGGAAGCUGAAAACUUGACCAUGCACUUCUGCAUUUUUCUGCAGAAGAUUGAAUAUUAAGGUAUUAAACAGGAAUGUACAGUUAUGGACAGAAAAAUUUAUUGUCUGAAAGAGUUAUUCAGAGGAAAGAAAGAAACAUCCAAAGAGCUGAAUAUUACAGAAAAUCUGGAGCUGACAGUGAAAAACUAGGAUAAAGUUUUAUUUCUAAAAUGGAAGGCACUGUCUUCCAAAUGGAUCCUAAACUAAUUCCAGUUUCAGUGUAUAUCACACGUUACUGACAUUCCUGAUCUGCAGGUGGAGAGGACGUGAGGUGAGCCUGGUAAAGUCUGAAGGAGAGCCAUCACAGAACUUGAAGCAGUGAAAAAAAAAAGAAGAUUAAAAAAAACCCCCAAAGAUAAAAAUGCAUCCUCAAUUAAGUUAUAACUCAGCUAGUAUGCACAAAGUCAAAUGACUUCUGGCUCACUUUCUCAGAGAAAAUUAGAUAGUUCUGCUCCAAGUAGAAGAAAAAUGUAUCCUUUUGCAAAUGCAUUUCUCUGUGUUAUGCUUUUAAGUACCAGCUUUUAAAUCAUGUCUGAAGAGGCCUGGGAAAGCACAUUAGCACCUCUCUACAAGCGCUGUUUGAACAUGGUUGGCUUGGGGAGAGGGGAAUGAAAGACUUCCAGACUCAGUGCAGACAAAGCCCAAAGGCUGUUGGCGCAAGUACAAAGCCAGAAUAGUGCUUCAAGAAAAUGGAAAGAAAAUGCCUUUAAAGAAGAAUUCACCAAAAUGACAUGAAACAGCAAACAGGAGACAGAGCCUUUGAGAGCAGUUUUUCACAAUUAGGUCACUGCUCUUUUGUGAAUGUUGAAGAUGCUCCACAACAGGAGUCAGAGACCUCCUGAAAGCCUGUUCCAAAAACCCUUCUGGAUCCCUUGGUUCAGUUUUCACCAUUGCAAUUAUCAGACUGCCAGGGCAACUGAUACAGCAAAUUGUCUGUUCACUUCCAAAGAUGCUCACUGCUGGUCUUACAGAGUUAACGCAGGAGCUCUGUGAAGCAGCAGCUUUGGGCAGCGUGCCUGGAGCAGAUCACAACAUCCCCUGGGGAAAAGAGAGACUUACCAGCUGUUUUUGAGAGUGGAGAGAGACAGUGCAUUGCAAAGUUACCAACUGCAUCUGGCAUGUCCCUCCUUCUGUGACCAUCACUCUCCUUUCCCUGACUCUGGGUUAGCAGAGGGCUUUCCCAUGCCCUGUGUUCUAAGGAAGAAGCCAAGGUCUUGUGUGUGUUUCUGGCUUGGUGUUUGCAGCCCCUGGCAGCCAGCUGUCUGACAGAGCCAUCCAAGUGAGCACUAGCCAGUAGUUGCACCCUGCACCCAGAAGAAGAUUUCACAUUUAAAAGUAGCUCCCUGCAGAGGAGGCCUGCUUUCCCCAGAUGACACGGGAGAAUUGGAGGGGUAACGGGAAGUGAGAGAGGGGCACGAGUGGGGCGUGGUUUAAAUUCCUAAACCGCAACAACUGUAAAUACAAACAGUCAUGGUUGAUGUUUCCACACCAGCCCUGUGAUAAAGGAGCAUUUGCUUAUUAACAUGGAUGUCCAAAUUUCAUGUACAACAUUCCCCAGCACACAGGCCCUGUUUCCCCAGACCAGCUCUUCUGUAGCUGCUGCCAGGUCAGCAGAAGGAGCACAGGACAUGCAGCUGCAGCCUAUCAGUAC